AUAGCUUCUUGGCCUUUUGGCUAAGAUUAAGUGUAGCACAAAGACUCAUUGCUAUAGGAGAAGCAUCUCAAUUAUUUUCUAGUAGUGGCGGUAAUUUUAUGGAAUUCUAUUUCUAUUCUCUCUCUCGCUCUCUCUUUCCCCCUCUCUCUCAUUUUCCUUGGCCUUCCCUGUAUGAGUUUUGAGUUGGGUGACCUUCCU